rnacentral:lncRNA from 1 species
AGUAUAACUUAGUCCUUAUUAUGGUAUAAUGUUUUCAGACCACUGUAUUGGUCUCUCUUCAGUACUAUACAUCAGUAACAAAGGAACACAGUACAACGAACAUAAUUUGAACUUGUUCUUGAAUGUUAGAACUAUAGGGUUCCUUUACAAAAAUUUGAACUGUGGAACAUCCGUGUUCAUUUCUAAAUACAACUGUUCUUACUGCUAUGCGUAUAAUAGCCUAACCAUUAACGUAUGACUAAGUAUAUACAUUCUGUUUUAACCUAGCUAAACAUUGAUAUGUAAAUCUUUUAUAAAUAUUACUCUAC